AGUCCCGAUUCUGGUUUUUGUGCCGGCAUCCCAAACAACCACAGAGACAGAUUUUGAACCAACCUCUAUGCUACAGAUUGAAGGGACUACAGAAACCACUCCUGAAACCCCCAAACAACUUCAAGAGACCACACCCACGGUUCCCCCAGCUCCAACUAAAAUUCAUCCAGACGCAGAAGACGCUGCUGCCCUGUUGAUGAUGGCACGGACAGCAUCCUAUGUUUCUAAAACAGAUCCAGGGGUGCCAUCAUUCAGCCUUGGAUUGACUGAUUGAAGCCAGGAGGGGGCGUCAACGCAGGAGACAGAAAGGGAAAAAUCUCCAGAAGCUGCGAAUUUGAUAGAACAAUUGGACAGUUUGGUCCAAAGAAUAGCAAGCAGCGC